AGCGCACCUCAAUGAACCUUAUUGGUGCACUGUGAGCGACCAUCAUCUGUCCACUGGAUUCCCAUUGCCAGCUUCCCGAACGAACAUAUGUAUUUGCCUAGCUUCUUCCCAAGGAGUUGAACAGAAAGGUUCUUGGUGGCAAAAAUGGCACAAAUCUUGGUGCUGUUGUUACUGUGGCUGCUCGACACAUCAUCCGCGGGAUUUCCUAAUCAGAUUAAUAUCGGGGGUCUCUUCAUGCGCUCCACGGUGCAGGAGCACAGCGCCUUCAGGUUUGCGGUGCAACUCUACAACACCAACCAAAACACCACCGAGAAGCCUUUCCACCUCAACUACAACGUGGACAACCUGGAGUCCUCCAACAGCUUCUCGGUCACCCACGCGUUUUGCUCCCAGUUCUCCCGCGGUGUGUACGCCAUCUUCGGAUUCUACGACAAAAAGUCCAUGAACACCUUGACGUCCUUCUGCGGAGCGCUGCAUACCUCCUUCGUCACACCCAGUUACCCCACCGACAACGAGGUGCAAUUUGUCAUCCAGAUGCGUCCUGCGCUACGAGGAGCGGUCCUAAGUCUGAUCUCGCACUACAAGUGGCAGAAGUUUGUCUACCUCUACGACACGGACCGAGGCUUUUCCAUAUUGCAGGCCAUCAUGGAGGCAGCGGUGGCCAACAACUGGCAGGUGACCGCUCGCUCCGUCAGCAGCGCCACGGAUGCGGCAGAGUUCAAACGCAUCAUCGAGGAGAUGGACAGGAGGCAGGAAAAGCGCUUUGUGAUCGACUGUGAGGUGGACAGGAUCAACAGCAUAUUAGAGCAGGUUGUGGCCCUGGGGAAGAACAGUCGCGGCUACCACUACAUUCUGUCCAAUCUUGGAUUUUCAAACGUGAGUUUGGACAAAGUCUUUGCUGGAGGAGCCAACAUUUCAGGGUUUCAGAUAGUCAACCCUGAGAACCCUAUUGUGCAGCAGUUUAUGCAGCGCUGGGAGCGGCUAGAUGAAAGAGAAUUCCCAGAAGCCAGGAAUGCUCCUCUGAAGUACACUUCAGCGCUGACACAUGAUGCCAUCCUGGUAAUAGCAGAGGCCUUCCGCUACCUGCGGCGUCAACGUGUGGACGUCUCUCGCCGCGGCAGCGCCGGAGACUGCCUUGCCAAUCCUGCUGUACCUUGGAGCCAAGGCAUCGACAUCGAGAGAGCUCUGAAAACGGUCAAAGUGAAGGGGAUGACAGGCAACAUCCAGUUUGACAACUAUGGCCGUCGAACCAACUACACCAUAGAUGUGUAUGAGAUGAAAUUAGGUGGGCCAAGAAAGAUCGGGUACUGGAACGAGUUCACACGCUUUGUAAAUAUAAUGGAUCCGCAGGUCACCAACGACUCCUCAGUGGAAAACCGAACGAUUGUGGUCACUACUAUUAUGGAAGCUCCUUAUGUGAUGUACAAGAAAAAUUAUAUGCAUCUGGAGGGGAAUGACAGAUAUGAAGGCUACUGCGUCGAUUUAGCAUCUGAGAUUGCCAAACAUGUUGGAAUUAAGUACAAACUGUCUAUAGUAAUGGAUGGGAAGUAUGGAGCCCGAGACCCCGAGACCAAGGCGUGGAACGGGAUGGUGGGUGAACUGGUCUAUGGGAGAGCAGAUAUAGCUGUCGCACCUCUCACCAUUACUCUGGUUCGAGAGGAAGUGAUAGACUUUUCCAAGCCAUUUAUGAGUUUGGGCAUCUCCAUUAUGAUAAAGAAGCCUCAAAAGUCCAAGCCCGGCGUUUUCUCCUUCCUGGACCCACUGGCCUAUGAGAUCUGGAUGUGUAUAGUGUUUGCCUAUAUUGGGGUGAGCGUGGUUCUGUUCCUGGUCAGUCGGUUCAGUCCUUACGAAUGGAACCUCGAGGAACAGGAUGAGACCAAAGACCCUCAGAUGCCCCCUGACCCUCCCAAUGACUUUGGGAUCUUCAAUUCUCUCUGGUUCUCUUUGGGCGCCUUCAUGCAGCAGGGCUGUGACAUCUCCCCAAGGUCUCUCUCAGGCCGUAUAGUCGGUGGUGUUUGGUGGUUCUUCACCCUCAUCAUCAUCUCAUCCUACACAGCCAAUCUGGCUGCCUUCUUGACAGUGGAGAGGAUGGUCUCUCCUAUAGAGAGUGCCGAAGAUCUGGCAAAGCAGACGGAGAUAGCAUAUGGCACUCUGGACUCAGGUUCCACUAAAGAGUUUUUUAGGCGAUCCAAAAUAGCCGUAUACGAGAAGAUGUGGUCGUACAUGAAAUCAGCCGAGCCCUCUGUGUUUGUUAAGACCACACCCGAUGGCGUGGCCCGGGUACGAAAGUCAAAGGGCAAGUUCGCCUUUCUCCUGGAGUCCACCAUGAACGAGUACAUAGAGCAGCGGAAGCCCUGCGACACCAUGAAAGUGGGUGGGAACCUCGACUCCAAAGGCUACGGAGUGGCGACGCCCAAAGGCUCAGCAUUAAGAAAUGCUGUUAACCUGGCAGUUUUAAAACUGAAUGAGCAAGGCCUCUUGGACAAAUUGAAAAACAAAUGGUGGUACGACAAGGGAGAGUGCGGCAGCGGGGGAGGUGACUCCAAGGUCAGCCUCGAUGUCACCACAAUCGGGUACUACAGUGCAGAGUAAUCGGCAAGGCUGUUAUAGCAACCCAACCAGAACCGAACCAAAUGUCCACCCCAAACAACCUGCUGCUGCCCUACGGCACGUCACCAAAUUGACUGAUGGUCUGACCGGACGGUUUAACACCUCAGCUCAAACAAAGGAGCCCUGCUUAGCAAACAGGAGAUUAGUGGCAACAUGAAUCAAUUUAUGACGUGAAUAAGCUGCCCUGCAGUUAUGAAAGUUUGGCGGUCUUUAUUCAUGCUUACAGAUCUGCGUGGCAGCUCAUCUCAUCCGGGACAUUAGGUCCAUCUAGCAUUCUGGAAAUGUAAUUAGUAAUCUGAUUCAUGCAUUUAUGAACCAAUUUUUAAAUAUUUUUUAUGGAAGUUGUUCACAUUUCUAGCAUAUGUUUUGGAGUCUUGGGAACGAUAGCUCUUGUUUAAUUGAACCAAUGGGAUCAAUCAUUCCCGGUAGCAAAAUGGCUUCAUGGAGGCCAUCAGCAAAGCAAGGGGAACAGCGGCGUCUUGAGGGGACUAAGCAUUGCACAAUGCAACGUGAGAAUUCUAAUUAACAUUUCAAGGCUUGUGAUUUCUUUUUAAUAGAUCAUGCAAUGAAAUACCUUUGGUCUGAUUCCACCAUUGAGCUCAUUAAUAACCCGGCAUUGACCCUUUUGAUCGCACCCUGCUAUCUUCUUUCGUGGCUAAAUGAUGAAUGAUAUUCCCAUUACAGAAACUAAUGGUGCAACUAUUAAGCCCUGCUCAAGCAUGACAACUAAGUAUAACAUUGCUUAGAUGAUGUGCAAUUGUAUGGUACUUCAUUCACUGCAUUACAUUUGGGACAGCGGCAUUAUAGUCUUGCAGGUCAAUGUAAGGACAAAAGAUGCUGUCACCUCAAAUAGGAUGAUAUAGGUCAAGUAAUUGGUUCGAUUAUAUGCAACCUGAAAAGCUCCGUGAACCACAGCUGUGUUAUUACACCCUUAACAUUAUUUGUCACGGAUUGGCCUUGACCACAAUUAGCAAUUAAGCAGGACCCAGUCUGUCUGGAAAACAGUGGGUUAGUUUUUUACCGAGUGCCUGCCUGCACAACAGAAAUUAUGUAAAUAGAAAGUCAAUUGAGAUUUACUCUCAUGGAGCGCACAUGUCCCACUUUAUACUAUCGUUGAUGGUUUAAACUCUUAGAACACACACACAGUGCACUAAUUAGCACGAUAUAUAUAUAUAUAUUUGUUUUUUUAUUACUGUGGAAAAUCAUCACUACCAUAAAUUUAUUACUGGCUUUCCCAACGACAUUGUUUGCACAGUAGAGGAGCCAGUUAUGACUCCAACCAAAAAAAAGACAACGAUGUGUUAAGCGGUUCUUUCUUUCAGAAAGUGUUACUCAAACAAAAGAUGUGGAAAAGGUCACUAUAAGAUAUAUGGAGGUUCUUCCAUAGCGAGUCAUGCAGAACAGCUUCAGUAGGGCUGGAAAUGUGCAUAAUGUGUCCCCAAGCCACGCCAUAAAUCAAAGCCAAAGCAUAGAUUAACUAUUCCCUCUUGAGUCAUAUUUUUGCACUAUUUGCAUUGUUAAUGAUGCUAUGUCGCUAAGCUCAUUAACAGAUAACAUGCUCAGGAGCCAUAAUUUAAUCAUAUAGUAUGUAUAUAUAUAAUCAUAUAUAUACGUAUAAUGGUGUGUGUGUGUGUGUGUAAAUACUCAGGUAUGUGCUCCAUUUGCCGGGUUGUUUAGCUUUUUCAGGAUUCAUCAGAGAGGCCCCAUGAAGUGUGCCCCGGAGCACUUACAAUCCUCAGUGCAUUGCUUGUAUCAUGCUUACAGCUUGUGGUUUCGACAGACGUCUCCAUUCUCUCUCACAAACACACAUGCACACAUUUGUAUACACUGACUUGUUUCUUGCCCUUCAGCACACAACACAGUGAGGUCGAGAUUGAGUUUUAGACACAGACCAUGUUAAAGGGUAAUUGCAUUGUUAAUCAAUGUCUCCACAAGCCAAAACGAUGCUCGGAUCAUCACAAACUGUUUCUCAGAUUUGUCUUUGACACAUAAAGUGGCGUUAUCUUCUCUCGGUGCGUUAUGCAUUGCCUAGUUCCCCUAGGGAGUAGUUAUGUCACUCAUUUAUCGAUAUAUCAAUUUUUCCUUCCUUUCAAUUUGUAUUUUGUAUUUCACCAGGGAGAUAGAGCGGAACCACGACUGACUCGUACUUGUAUGUAUUACUACAAAUGUCAUGUUGACGACACUACACAAUGCAGAUAUGAAUUUGGGUCGACAACUGUAUUGCAGCAAACACAUCAACUUAAUAUUGACAAGUAAUAAUAACUAACGAUAUGCAGUGAAGAUGGAGAGAGAGUCGUCUUGCAGACACUUUUUUUGGGUGAUCAUUUCUGACAUAUUUCUGACAGCAUUGAGAGAAAAGUUGACGAUGCACUGUGGGGACAUGCACCAGUGAACCAGAAAUUCACGCUCACUAAAGUUGUAUAUUAAUUUAUUCAUCCAUCUUUCGAACCGCUUCUCCAAUGAGGGUAGCGGGCCUGCAGGAGCCUAUCCCAGCAGUCACACCACCAAUUCUCAUGACAAAAUCAUAAAAUGAAACCAAUACUGUGCACAGCAAAAAUGCAAACCACGCAAGUAUUAUUGUGUUUGUUAAGACAAAGCUCCUUUUGAACUGAUCUUGUUGAAUGCUGUUCAGAUACUCUUCCAUGCCCCCUCACAUUAUCCCAAGUAGAGACCGGCAGAUCGUACUGUAAGUACCUGCUUGUCGCCAUGGUAACAGCGUCUGCCGAUUACUCAAAGCGAUAUGGGUAGGUCCUGGCUCUGUAGGUAAGGGUUUAUAAAGGUGAUAGGUAGAAUGCCUGCUCUCUGUCAUGUUGCCGUGGCCAGGAACCCUGCUUUAUCGCUUUGUAAAAGAUGUAAGUAGUAAACAAGUUGAAUAACAUAAAAUAACAUAAUAUAAUGUUAUUUAUGUUAUUUCCCACGUGAAGAACUCCUGUAAACCUUGCAGUAUUGAAACUCAGUGAACAAGGCAUCUUAGACAAGCUGAAAAACAAAUGGUGGUACGAUAAGGGUGAAUGUGGAACCAAGGACUCUGGAAGUAAGGACAAGACAAGUGCUCUCAGCCUAAGCAAUGUGGC